GCUUCUUCAGGGGCACAUGUUAAAAUUGUAACGACACAGAAAAGUUUAACAUGGCCUCUGUGCAAGGAUGACAUACAAAUGCAUGAAGCAGCCUGUAUUUUU
rnacentral:snRNA from 1 species